CUUCUUUGAAGCGUCAGGUCCCGGUACAGUGACAUCACGACUUUUGAAUUGAAAUAUGGCGGAACAUGUUUUUAAGGCUUCUUUUUUGACAGCUGUGAUCACCUGCAUAAUGCGCGGAGAAGCCGCUCCUGCAAAAGUUCUCAAUUACUUGAACAUUGCAGAGUUCUACAAUAGACAGGGACUGUUAUGGACACUUCAGUCGCAAACGACCACUUGCCAACAAGGCGUGGCAUGUUUAGUGUACACUAUCGACGAUGCCCCUAAACAAUCGUUCAGCUUUACGCAGUUAUUUUACAAGGACGGCCAAAGAACUGUCUGGAACAUGAAAGGAAAAUUUUUAAAAACAUGGGCUGGCAUACGUCUUUCUGAUUCACUUAAGGUUACCCCUCCUGAAGGUAAGUAU